GAUUAUGAGCCACUUCAUUACUGUGCAUUUACAUCUUUGCAGCUGCAGUAUAUGGCACAGGGCCUUGUCAAAAGUACCAGGUAUUUGCUCCUAGUAACAGAAAAGCUGACCAAUACAGAAAGUCCAUACCAGGAAUGAGGAUGUUGUUGUGACUACUCCUGACUAUGGGGUUCAGAAGUUUUUGGAACUGAUUUGGGGGAGAAAUUUAGAAAACUCUGGAAAAGAAGACUAGAGAAGCUGUAGACUUCUGUAAGACAGUUUAAUGGACAAUUCUGGUAGGAGCUCAGAAAGCCAGAAUGCUGAUAGGAAUGUGGACAAUAAAGGCCUGCCUCAUGAGGUUUCACACUGAAAUCAGGACUCUACUUGGAACUGUAUUAGCGACAAUCUCUAGGAAGGAGGUCCUCAAGUUACCAGUCCCUGAAAAGCCGCAUGGAACUUUUGAGGAAUCCGCUACUUGGCUUUGUUCUGGUAUCUAUA